AACGAACGCUGGCGGCAUGCCUAACACAUGCAAGUCGAACGAGACCUUUGGGUCUAGUGGCGCACGGGUGCGUAACGCGUGGGAAUCUGCCCUUGGGUUCGGAAUAACAGUUAGAAAUGACUGCUAAUACCGGAUGAUGACUUCGGUCCAAAGAUUUAUCGCCCAAGGAUGAGCCCGCGUAGGAUUAGCUAGUUGGUAGGGUAAAGGCCUACCAAGGCGACGAUCCUUAGCUGGUCUGAGAGGAUGAUCAGCCACACUGGGACUGAGACACGGCCCAGACUCCUACGGGAGGCAGCAGUGGGGAAUAUUGGACAAUGGGCGAAAGCCUGAUCCAGCAAUGCCGCGUGAGUGAUGAAGGCCCUAGGGUUGUAAAGCUCUUUCACCCGGGAUGAUAAUGACAGUACCGGGAGAAUAAGCCCCGGCUAACUCCGUGCCAGCCGCCGCCGUAAAAC
rnacentral:rRNA from 1 species